rnacentral:tRNA from 1 species
AGUCUUAUAUUCAAUUAUGAUAUUAAAUUGCAAAUUUAAAGGUAAAGUUAUUUUAAGGCUU